rnacentral:rRNA from 1 species
AACGCUAGCUACAGGCUUAACACAUGCAAGUCGAGGGGCAGCAUGGUCUUAGCUUGCUAAGGCCGAUGGCGACCGGCGCACGGGUGAGUAACACGUAUCCAACCUGCCGUCUACUCUUGGACAGCCUUCUGAAAGGAAGAUUAAUACAAGAUGGCAUCAUGAGUCCGCAUGUUCACAUGAUUAAAGGUAUUCCGGUAGACGAUGGGGAUGCGUUCCAUUAGAUAGUAGGCGGGGUAACGGCCCACCUAGUCUUCGAUGGAUAGGGGUUCUGAGAGGAAGGUCCCCCACAUUGGAACUGAGACACGGUCCAAACUCCUACGGGAGGCAGCAGUGAGGAAUAUUGGUCAAUGGGCGAGAGCCUGAACCAGCCAAGUAGCGUGAAGGAUGACUGCCCUAUGGGUUGUAAACUUCUUUUAUAAAGGAAUAAAGUCGGGUAUGCAUACCCGUUUGCAUGUACUUUAUGAAUAAGGAUCGGCUAACUCCGUGCCAGCAGCCGCGGUAAUACGGAGGAUCCGAGCGUUAUCCGGAUUUAUUGGGUUUAAAGGGAGCGUAGAUGGAUGUUUAAGUCAGUUGUGAAAGUUUGCGGCUCAACCGUAAAAUUGCAGUUGAUACUGGAUAUCUUGAGUGCAGUUGAGGCAGGCGGAAUUCGUGGUGUAGCGGUGAAAUGCUUAGAUACCACGAAGAACUCCGAUUG